CUCCGGGCACCUGGCUGUGGAAGGUAGAAUGGAAAUUGCAACAACAAAAUCCUAACUAAACUCUAAUUAGACCAUAACAAUGCUAAGUAAGCUUUAAUCAAAUUCAAAAAAAACUCAAAAGAAUUACAAAGAAGUAAUAAGAAAUCUUAAAGAAAUAUUAGAAUGAUCACAAACAUAUCUCAACUCAAUCUUAAUUUAAUCCUAGUUAAAAUCCUAUUGGACUUCAUUAAAAUUUUAGGCCAAAAUCUAACUAAAUCUUAAACCUUAAAUAAAUCCUAAUAAAAUUAUAAAUCCUAAAUCAAAUCCUAAUCAAAUCCUAAAUCCUAAAUAAAAUUCUAAUCAAAUCUUAAACCAAACCCUAAACUCUAAAUAAAAUCCUAAUAAUUUCUACAAUAGAUUUAAACUUCAAUUACUAAUGAAUGAAUCAUUGAUCUUAACUCAAAAUUUUCACACUUUUUAACAAUUAAGUUGAAAAAAAAUACAAAAUAUUUGAAAAGAAUCAAAAUUAUCAAAUAGAUGAUAACCUCAAAAACGUGCUUGGAUAUUGGCUAGCCUCCUUCUUUGACCUUGAUGCUAAUCUCCCAGAGCCAAUAUCUCUCUUUUUAAUCAUUUG
rnacentral:lncRNA from 1 species